AUUGAACGCUGGCGGCAGGCCUAACACAUGCAAGUCGAGCGGAUGAAGGGAGCUUGCUCCUGGAUUCAGCGGCGGACGGGUGAGUAAUGCCUAGGAAUCUGCCUGGUAGUGGGGGAUAACGUCCGGAAACGGGCGCUAAUACCGCAUACGUCCUGAGGGAGAAAGUGGGGGAUCUUCGGACCUCACGCUAUCAGAUGAGCCUAGGUCGGAUUAGCUAGUUGGUGGGGUAAAGGCCUACCAAGGCGACGAUCCGUAACUGGUCUGAGAGGAUGAUCAGUCACACUGGAAGGGAGACACGCUCCAGCCUCCUAGGGGAGGCACCAGUGGGAAAUUUUGGACAGGGGGCGAAAGCUUGAUCCAUCCAUGCGGGGUGGGUGAAGAAGGUCUGGGAAUUAAAAAGCAUUAUAGUUGGGGGGAAAGGGCAUAAAGUAAAUCCCUUGUUUUUUUGAGUUACCAAACAAAAAAGGCACGGCCAAGCUCGGAC
rnacentral:rRNA from 1 species